AGGUAUAUAAUUAAAAUAUAAUAAUUAAUUUGCAUUUAAUAAUUACCCAAAGGGUUAUGCCU
rnacentral:tRNA from 1 species